GGGGGCCUUCCACUUAUUUUUCAAACAUGGCAUUAAUCACAGGUAUAAACACUAAAACCAACACACUAAAACCAAAACCAGAUUGGCCUCUAUUUCGGU